CUUCUCCUAGAUCUGGACCAGCUUGCCGAGAAGCAAGUGCUGCUUUGUUUUGCAGAAGGGGAGGAAAGGAAACUUUGACCAGAGGAGCGGCUUGGAUCUUUGCCCUCAUCCAGGCACCUGUGAUCUGGGUGUACAAGCGUGCCCAGAGCAAUACCGCCUGCAGGUGAGAUGGCUGCGCCAGAAAAUCCCGCCUUCCAUGUCAGCUGCUCCUCCUGCAGCAAACACACAAACGGCUGAACCGGGGGAGAGUCUCGCAUAUAGGAAAACGUAGCAAGUGCUGGUGUUGCUGGGACAUUAUCUGAUGGUCGGUUAGAGUGAGGUGCAGCAAGCCAGAGGUGCUAGGGUCUCGCUCAGGAAGUUCUUGGCCAAGAUUGGGUGGAUUUGGAUUUGGUCUGGAGAAAGCACUCCAAAGAGCCAGUCCCUCCCCAGAGCACCACCGGCAUGACGCCUUCUUUAGGCAAAUUCAUACCAAAUUCCAUGGGUACGUGAGCACGGGCACAGACCGCAAGGCAGCUGUCCAGGGGACUGUCUAAUGCCUGGUGCCUUGCUAACGAUUGCUCUGAUGCAUCGCAGUGAAGGCUUGCAAGGUUGUGCCUUUGGGGAUUCUGGGUACGUGCUGCUUCCCCGCAGUGGUUUCAGAGGAGCUGUUUGAAGCAGAGAGGGCCAAGCUCUCUCUCGGUGCUCACGCUGCUGAGUGGCAAAUGCUUACCGUUUGUGUAGCAGCAUGGCUUCCCGUCUCGGGGUGUCCUCCCUCCUCCCCCCUAUUCGCACAGUCAAAGCAUAGCUGACGUGGAGGCUGUCAGAGUCAGCAUUUCCAUCCUGGGGCAAAGUACGCUAUUGCGGCACGUGUUUCCAUCCAGCGUGGGGAGUAACCCCAAACUUCACCGCCUUUCCUCGUGGGAGGGGGACAUCGCAAUGUGCUACAAAAGCUUCCCCUGGCUCUGAGUGGCCCCGUCGGGCCCCUGCUCUGCCCACUCCACCAGGCAAGGCUGCAGCCCCUCUCGCUGCGGGGGGGGGGUUGGGGGGAGAGGAUGUACACAUCCUUGG
rnacentral:lncRNA from 1 species